rnacentral:misc_RNA from 1 species
UGGUGUUCACAAUUUUACUGAUGGGAUGGCUUUGGGAAGUGCAUUCCUCCUUCAUGGAUCAGUUGGUGGGUGGUCAAGAACUUUGUUUCUUCUGGCACAUGAGCUCCCUCAAGAGAUAGGUGAUUUUGGAAUCUUGGUAAGGUCUGGGUUCAGCGUCUCCAAAGCUCUCUUCUUUAACUUCUUAUCUGCACUAGUGGCCCUAGCCGGAACUGCACUGGCAUUGACAUUGGGACAAGAUUCUGGUCAUUCGUCAUUGAUUGAGGGAUUCACUGCUGGCGGCUUCAUCUACAUUUCAGUUGCCGGAGUGUUGGCUGAAAUGAACAAUACUGGCAGGACGACGUUAGUGAAUACAGUAAUCCAACUUAUCUCACUGGUAUCAGGGAUGGCUGUUGCUCUUUGCAUCUCUCUCAUUGAAUGACGGUAUAGGCUACUUCUUGUGUUCGUAGAGAGGAGAGACGGUUGUUGUCUCCCCCCACAGGGACGAGAACAGCCUUCAGGCGUUGACCGUUUACGACACAUCCAGCCAGACAACGCUUGUAUUAAGAUUAGUGUUAGACAUCUUGAAUAUUUAUAUAGAAAUCUACAGGCAGGUGGAAAAAAUUUACUCCUUCUGUUUCAAUUUAUGUGACAUGUAUUAUUUUGGUCCAUCUAAUAUGAGGGGAAUUUCA